rnacentral:rRNA from 1 species
AAGAAACCAACAGGGAUUGCCCUAGUAACGGCGAGUGAAGCGGCAACAGCUCAAAUUUGAAAUCUGGCCUUCCGGGGCCCGAGUUGUAAUUUGUAGAGGAUGCUUUUGGUGCGGUGCCUUCCGAGUUCCCUGGAACGGGACGCCUUAGAGGGUGAGAGCCCCGUACGGUUGGACGCCUAGCCUCUGUAAAGCUCCUUCGACGAGUCGAGUAGUUUGGGAAUGCUGCUCUAAAUGGGAGGUAAAUUUCUUCUAAAGCUAAAUACCGGCCAGAGACCGAUAGCGCACAAGUAGAGUGAUCGAAAGAUGAAAAGCACUUUGAAAAGAGGGUUAAAUAGUACGUGAAAUUGUUGAAAGGGAAGCGCUCAUGACCAGACUUAGCUUAGGGGGAUCAUCCGGUGUUCUCACCGGUGCACUUCCCCUGGGUCUAGGCCAGCAUCGGUCUCUGUAGCGGGAUAAAAACGGUGGGAAUGUGGCUCCUACGGGAGUGUUAUAGCCCGCCGUAUAAUACCGCUACGGGGACUGAGGUUCGCGCUUCUGCAAGGAUGCUGGCGUAAUGGUCAUUAGCGACCCGUCUUGAAACACGGACCAAGGAGUCGAACAUUUGUGCGAGUGUUUGGGUGUCAAACCCUGACGCGUAAUGAAAGUGAACGGAGGUGAGAGCCUAAUCUUGUUGGGUGCAUCAUCGACCGAUCCUGAUGUCUUCGGAUGGAUUUGAGUAAGAGCAUAACUGUUCGGACCCGAAAGAUGGUGAACUAUGCGUGGAUAGGGUGAAGCCAGAGGAAACUCUGGUGGAGGCUCGCAGCGGUUCUGACGUGCAAAUCGAUCGUCAAAUCUGCGCAUGGGG